GAGAGUUUGAUUCUGGCUCAGGACGAACGCUGGCGGCGUGCCUAAUACAUGCAAGUCGAACGCUCUUUUCUUAUCGAACUUCGGUUCACCGAGAAAAGGGAGUGGCGAACGGGUGAGUAACACGUGGGUAACCUACCCAUCAGCGGGGGAUAACACUUGGAAACAGGUGCUAAUACCGCAUAAUUCUUUUCUUCGCCUGAAGGGAAGAUGAAAGACGCUUUUGCGUCACUGAUGGAUGGACCCGCGCUGCAUUAGCUAGUUGGUGGGGUAACGGCUCACCAAGGCCACGAUGCAUAGCCGACCUGAGAGGGUGAUCGGCCACACUGGGACUGAGACACGGCCCAGACUCCUACGGGAGGCAGCAGUAGGGAAUCUUCGGCAAUGGACGGAAGUCUGACCGAGCAACGCCGCGUGAGUGAAGAAGGUUUUCGGAUCGUAAAACUCUGUUGUUAGAGAAGAACAAGGAUGAGAGUAGAAUGUUCAUCCCUUGACGGUAUCUAACCAGAAAGCCACGGCUAACUAC
rnacentral:rRNA from 1 species